CGGGGAUUGGCGCAGUUGGUAGCGCGCCGCGUUUGGGACGCGGAGGCCGCCAGUUCGAGUCUGGCAUCCCCGA
rnacentral:tRNA from 1 species